UUAAAUUAGGGCAGAAAAAGCAGAUAUGAAUAUGUAUAAAACAGAGCCACACUGGAGAAUCAUUAAGUAAGAAAUGUAUUAUAAAGAUGAAGCUAACUGAAGGCAAAUUACAUUGGAAAUUUCAAGUAACACUGUGGCAUCACCCUCCAUUGCUACUAUAUCCAGUUCAAGGUGUUCCUAGCUGCUCAUUGUGCAAGUAACAGAAACAAGUGCUGACAGACCCACUAAGGCACACACAACUGUAAUUAAAGAAACAAGUAGUAUCAGGAGAGGGGUUCAAAAACAUCAGAACAAGGACACCUGUAUCAGAAAAGGACUAUGUGGUGCUCAUAGUUUGCCAAUUUCCCUACUUGCUGGCCAAAAUGUUUGAAUUUAAUAUUGUCAAAAUCUUGUAUUUUGUGACAUUAUGGAGUUUUCCUCGUUUGACCCAAAUCUUAAUUUGCAGAUAUUGUAAUUAUUGACCUACUUUACAUGUCAUUCUAUCCUUCUCUGCCAGUUAGUGAAAACAAAAAAAUCCACAAAUGCAUGUUUCUCUACACAGGCUUUUAACUUCACUGUUUGGUUUCAAUUUGUGUCUUGUUUCUGUUAAAUAAACUUUCAGGCAAAGAG